CUGGGGUGGGCUUUGGAGAUGCAGCUGCCUUUGAGUUGUUUCUGCUCCUAGGUGCCAGGAGAAUCAUCGCAUAUGCAACGAAGCCUUUCAAAGCCAAGUGUGGCUCUCCACCUGUUUGUUGCCAGUUCCCAAGGCCCAUGUUUGGUGGCUCACAACUGCCCACAGUUCCAGAUGCAAAGCGGCCAAUGCUCCAGCCUCCAGGCAAACCUCUGCGCCCAUUCUCACACGCAUGCGUAACUGUAGCCACCCCAAGGCUACACAGCCAGGGCUACACAGAGAAACCCUGUCUCGAAAAACCAAAAAGAAAAGAAAAAAAAAAGUCAUGAACUCUGAUUGUAGAGAACUCCUGGGAAAGGGAACCAAGAAAGAAACAGAGGGACACAAACAAGUUCUUAAACCCAUAAUGUAAAAGGAUAAUUGUUAAUAAUUAGAUAAUGUGCACACAACUAAAGAAAAACCCCAAGAGGUAUUUAUUAAAAAUAAAAUAGUUAAACUUUAUGUAUAAUGGACAUACAAUUACCAAACUUCAAGCAUGAGAUUUAUCAGUUUGAAGUGUGCAAUUUAAUAGUUUUUAGUAAGUUUACCAAAUUGCUACAAUCCAGUUUUAGAGCAGACUU
rnacentral:lncRNA from 1 species